GAUGAACGCUGGCGGCGUGCUUAACACAUGCAAGUCGAACGGAAAGGCUCCUGCUUGCAGGGGUACUCGAGUGGCGAACGGGUGAGUAACACGUGGGUGAUCUGCCCUGCACUUCGGGAUAAGCCUGGGAAACUGGGUCUAAUACCGGAUGGGACCAUCGUUUAGUGUCGGUGGUGGAAAGUUUUUUCGGUGUGGGAUGAGCUCGCGGCCUAUCAGCUUGUUGGUGGGGUAAUGGCCUACCAAGGCGUCGACGGGUAGCCGGCCUGAGAGGGUGUACGGCCACAUUGGGACUGAGAUACGGCCCAGACUCCUACGGGAGGCAGCAGUGGGGAAUAUUGCACAAUGGGCGCAAGCCUGAUGCAGCGACGCCGCGUGGGGGAUGACGGCCUUCGGGUUGUAAACUCCUUUCGCCAGGGACGAAGCGAAAGUGACGGUACCUGGAUAAGAAGCACCGGCUAACUACGUG
rnacentral:rRNA from 1 species